CUUUACUGCAACUUGGCAGUGGUUUUCGGGAUAUUCUGCGUAGGAUAGGUGGGAGGCUAUGAAGUCGGGGUUCCGGCCUCGGCUGAGCCAACGUUGAAAUACCACCCUGGAUGUUCUGGAAACCUAACCUAGGCCCCUCACGGGGUCGGGGACACUGCCUGGUGGGCAGUUUGACUGGGGCGGUCGCCUCCAAAAAAGUAACGGAGGCGUGCGAAGGUUCCCUCAGGCUGAUUGGAAACCAGCCGUAGAGUGCAAACGCACAAGGGAGCUUAACUGCGAGACCGACAGGUCGAGCAGGUGCGAAAGCAGGCGUUAGUGAUCCUGUGGUUCUGCAUGGAAGGGCCAUAGCUCAUCGGAUAAAAGGUA
rnacentral:rRNA from 1 species